rnacentral:rRNA from 1 species
UGCCAGCCGCCGCGGUAACACGGGGGGCGCAAGCGUUAUUCGGAAUUAUUGGGCGUAAAGGGCGCGCAGGCGGUCUUGUCCGUCAGGUGUGAAAGCCCGGGGCUCAACCCCGGAAGUGCAUUGGAAACUGGCGAACUUGAGUACGGGAGAGGAAAGUGGAAUUCCGAGUGUAGGGGUGAAAUGCGUAGAUAUUGGGAGGAACACCGGUGGCGAAGGCGGCCACCUGGACCGGUUCUGACGCUGAGGCGCGAAAGUGUGGGGAGCAAACAGGAUUAGAUA